rnacentral:rRNA from 1 species
CCUACGGGGAGCAGCAGUGGGGAAUAUUGGACAAUGGGCGAAAGCCUGAUCCAGCCAUGCCGCGUGUGUGAAGAAGGCCUUCGGGUUGUAAAGCACUUUCAGUGGGGAAGAAAGCCUUGGGGCUAAUACCCUCGAGGAAGGACAUCACCCACAGAAGAAGCACCGGCUAACUCCGUGCCAGCAGCCGCGGUAAUACGGAGGGUGCGAGCGUUAAUCGGAAUUACUGGGCGUAAAGCGCGCGUAGGCGGUCUGAUAAGCCGGUUGUGAAAGCCCCGGGCUCAACCUGGGAACGGCAUCCGGAACUGUCAGGCUAGAGUGCAGGAGAGGAAGGUAGAAUUCCCGGUGUAGCGGUGAAAUGCGUAGAGAUCGGGAGGAAUACCAGUGGCGAAGGCGGCCUUCUGGACUGACACUGACGCUGAGGUGCGAAAGCGUGGGUAGCAAACAGGAUUAGAUCCCCUAGUAGUC